GACGAACCGUACGAACGUUAUUCGGAAUUACUGGGCUUAAAGGGUGCGUAGGCGGCGCGGAAAGUAGGGUGUGAAAUCCCUCGGCUCAACCGAGGAACUGCGCUCUAAACUACCGUGCUCGAGGGAGAUAGAGAUGAGCGGAACUGAGGGUGGAGCGGUGAAAUGCGUUGAUAUCCUCAGGAACACCGGUGGCGAAAGCGGCUCACUGGAUCUCUUCUGACGCUGAGGCACGAAAGCUAGGGGAGCAAACGGG
rnacentral:rRNA from 1 species